ACACAACCACCACCACCAACUCCUCCUCCAUUCUUUUUUUAUUUUCGCUGGUUCUUCAAUCUGAAGAUUUCAUCACCUAAAGCGAUUGAAACAACUAAGUUUAAUUUCAUAAUUGUUUUCUUAUUCGAUCGAGAGCUUUAAUUUAUCCGUUUCAAAAAGAAUUUUCAGAAUUUUUUGAGGUUCUCAAAAACCUAAAUGCUUUUGUUUUCAGUUUGAAUUUCUUAUCUGAUCAUUCACAAUCAUGUUUCGAUUUGUAACCUUGUUAUGAUUCUCAUCAUUUUGAACCAAAUAUUAUGAAUCAUUUCGAAAACAUUUCAUCAUCAAGUUUUAGGGUUUGUCCUUGUGAUUCAACUGAUUUUUUAAUUGUUUGUUCUGAUUUUGAAAUUGAUUUCAUAUUCGUAAUUAGUGAAUCUAAAUCUACAUUACCCACCUGAUAUUUUUGUAUGAGAGCAACUUUCGAAUCCGGACCUAUUUAGAAUUUUAUAUCUGUUAUUAAUUGAUUGUAAUAGGUUUAAUUGAAUGAUUGAUGUAAGUUGUACCUAAAAUUGCAACAAGAUAACAAGGUUUUCAACCUCUGAUUCUCGAUAACUAACACAAAAGAUUCCAUUGGCUGUUUCAGAAUAUGUUCUUAAGUUACAAUUGAAACCUCAAUCAAAGUUUUAAAUACAAACCAAUCAAUUUAAAGGUAUGCCAGAUUACAUAGCUCCAGAAGUGUUGAUGAAGAAAGGUUAUGGCAUGGAUUAUGACUGGUUGAUAGAACUUGGUACUUGUAGCUUCACCAUCAGAAUCACUUAUACUUACGUGAAGAGGCAAGGUUGACACCUGAAGCAAGGAAUCUCAUUUGUGGAUUGUUAUAUGAUGUUGACUAGAGAUUAGAUACUGGAGGGGCAGAUCAAAUAAAAGCAUGUUGGUAGUGUCAAAGGAAAUACGUUGAGCAGGAAACAUUGAGGGCUUUCUGGGAUGCUUCAUAUCCUGUAAAGAACUUCACCAGUUAGUAUCUGAACAAUGGAAGGACAUGGGAAAUCAAGGAAAAGACCCAUAUACAGAUUUCAGGUAUGUUCUUGUUCUCUUGUUAUGCAUGUAUACUUAACUAAGUGCUUAAAGUUUUGGCUGCAGAAAUCUUUGCAGGAUCUUCUACGAAAGCAAGAAGGUGAUCGAGCGAUGUGGGAGUACCCAUUUACUGUAGCUAUGAGUGUUGUUUAUAAAUGUUAAGCAGAUAAUAGUGAGUAUCCAAACUCUUGCAAACCUUUUUUGAUGUAAGAUUACAUCGAACAUUCUUUAGCUAUCAACUGAUGGAAGUCUGUCCUGUGAAGCAUCUUAACUUGUAAUUUAUAACUGUCUGAAUGAUUCAAACCUUCAACUGUGGAUAGCUAAUGAACAAAGUCCAUUUUCCAAUGUAUGUUCUGAAGAAAUUCUUCAACUAAACUACCAUAAAUGGAGUGAUUUCUUAUUUUGUUUCUUCCUUCGCCAGGCUAGCUUCCUCUCUCGGAAGUCAGAAAUAAGGUUUGGUUUCUUAUUUUGUUUAAUUUCAGUGUUGAAGGUGAUUAAAUUCUAAUUAAUCCAUAAUAUGUUCCAUAGUGUGCUUGACGUUCCACCUACCUUUGUUUCUCUUGUUAUGUCAUUCUCAGAAUACAUUCGGACAGUUGAAAAGGGAUAACAAAAGCUGAAUGAAUGACGUAAGUCUUUGGUUAUAUUGGUUUUUCAACAAGCUCAACACAGGGUGUCAUGAAGCAGGAUCAUCCUGGAAGGUAUUACAACUGGAGCAUCUCCUAGUUCCUGGUCUGGAGGGGUGGUAUUGAAUUACUGAAAUGUCAUUGUUCAGCUGGUUGACAGGAGUUUAGCUACUUAGGAUUAAUUUUGUGAACAAAUCAGUUUUGAAUUCUAAUACUAUUUAUUUAUUUUUUCUUUUCGAUGUAGUCUUCUCGAAUGAUGUUUAGGCGAAGAAUUUGAAUGAGAUUGAACUUUUACAAUA